rnacentral:rRNA from 1 species
GACGUAGGGCGCGAGCGUUGGUCCGGAAUUAUUGGGCGUAAAGGGCUCGUAGGCGGUUUGUUGCGUCGGCCGUGAAAACGUUCACGCUUAACUGUGGAGCUUGCGGUCGAUACGGGCAGACUUGAGUUCGGUAGGGGAGACUGGAAUUCCUGGUGUAGCGGUGAAAUGCGCAGAUAUCAGGAGGAACACCGGUGGCGAAGGCGGGUCUCUGGGCCGAUACUGACGCUGAGGAGCGAAAGCGUGGGGAGCGAACAGG